ACACAAUUCAUAUCGAAGGCUCUGUGGUGACAGGACAGAAAGAGCCAUAGUUUGGGCAUCCCACUCCCUGACUUUUUAUUUUAUUUUAUUUUAUUUUUUAAAACAAAAAAAAACCCCAAAAUUCUAAAGAUUUUUAACAAUAAUUUUAGUUAGUAAAUCAGCGGAAGAGAUUUCUAUUUCUGACUUAAUAGUGGCAUGUUUUCUAUAAUGGGCAUUAUACCAGCUUUUGGCUUGAGUUUGACAGAAUCCUUGUUCUCCCACUCUGGAUUCGUGUUGGAGUGAAGGAUUUGGACUAAGUCAUCUUUAUGGUUCCCUUCAGCUUUGCUAGUCAGUUGUUUUUCUGAUUCUGUGAACAGGCUAAGGGGACAGUCUAGCCAUCUAGAUGAGGCCCCUUUCAAGAGCUGCGGCUGCCAAAUAAAUACAGUGGGCUUUGUGGAUAUGUAGAAUAAAUGUGUACACAUAUGCAUCCAUACAAACUAUAUUGACAUUUUGAAGUGAAAGCACGUUAGGAAAGAGUGGAAUUUUAAUUUAUGGAUUGCAAGAGAAUUUGCCAGUCAGCAUGCAGGCACAUGUGCGAGCGACUAAAGAGCCAUUUUCAAAAGAAUAAGCUGUUUUGAAUGCACGUCUUCCUGUAUAAUAAGUAUGAAUUUAAAAUGGAUGGGCACUGGGUGCAUCUCUUAGCUUUGCUGUUCUCACGUGCUCUCUCAUGGCAACCACGCUGCUCCUUUUUGUAUUAUGGUCAUGUGCUGUUUUGAGGGUGCAAAGGACCCAUUUAAUCAACUGGAGUGCUGACCGUCCAUGCCAUGAAUGUCCUACUCACUCUGCUCUGGGGCAUGGCAGGCCUAGCGACAGUCUUUAUCAUACGCAGCUCACGGAUGUUCUUGUGGAAGAAGAACCUUCUGCUAAGUUACUUGCAAACUGUGUGUGUGCCUGUGUGGUCUGUAUGCCUAGCCUAGGGUGUGAGGGACAGACUGAAUAAUGGCUGAGACCCAGACAGAGAGGCUAGAGAAUAAAUGGUCUUUUCAUUCAUUAUGUCCCCUCCAUGAGUCAUCUCAAGAACAAUGCAUUCAGAGUUGGACAAACCUUUGAAAGAUGUCAUUUAAAAUUUUUACAAAAGAUUUAUCUAUUUUAUUUAUAUGAGUACACUGUAGCUGGCUGUGAGUCACCAUGUGGUUUUUGGGAUUUGAACUCAGAACCUCUGGAAGAACAGUCAGUGCUCUUAACCACUGAGCCGUCUCUCCAGCCCUCAUGAUGACUCUCAAUGCAAUUUUUAGAACCCCAGAAUAAAUUCUUCUACCAUGUUUUAGAAAUAUCAUCUUGCCUGUGGCGGGGGAGCCCAUUUCAAGCCUGUGUUGACAGUUAGUAAACCAGCAACUCUUUUAAUUGGUCUCAAUUUUUUUUAUCUGAAAAAAAAUAUAGUGUAUAAGAUAUAAUUACUUUCUAACUCAGAAAGGGGAUUUGAGGAGCGUGUAUAAUUAUAUUUUACUUAUUCUUUUAUUCUGGGUUGUUAAAAAUUCCUACUAGUGGAUCUCUUGUUUAUUUCAUAAUCAUCCUGAAAUGUACAUAAUAAUAGAAAUAUAUUAGUGACUUCAGAGGUAGAGAAGCUGGAAUGGAUUUAUCAGCAAGCAUUUUAGGCAGGCAUGAUUGUACUCUGUAGACAUGUGUAGAAUAUUUAGUUGUUGAUGGAUGCUAACAGGGUAAUAAACAAAAAGCACUCUGUGUAUUACACUGCUCAGUUCAUUUUCUGUAAUCCAAGCAGUUACCAAGUGUUUUUACAUCACUCACUUGAUGAUUAAAAAUACCUUGAAGUCUAAAGCUGUGGAGAACUUUUAUAAUUCAAAAACAAAACAAAACAAAACAAAAAGCAAACAAAC
rnacentral:lncRNA from 1 species